CCUACGGGAGGCUGCAGUGAGGAAUAUUGGUCAAUGGACGAGAGUCUGAACCAGCCAAGUAGCGUGAAGGAUGACUGCCCUAUGGGUUGUAAACUUCUUUUAUAUGGGAAUAAAACGUUCCACGUGUGGGAUUUUGUAUGUACCAUAUGAAUAAGGAUCGGCUAACUCCGUGCCAGCAGCCGCGGUAAUACGGAGGAUCCGAGCGUUAUCCGGAUUUAUUGGGUUUAAAGGGAGCGUAGAUGGAUUGUUAAGUCAGUUGUGAAAGUUUGCGGCUCAACCGUAAAAUUGCAGUUGAAACUGGCAGUCUUGAGUACAGUAGAGGUGGGCGGAAUUCGUGGUGUAGCGGUGAAAUGCUUAGAUAUCACGAAGAACUCCGAUUGCGAAGGCAGUUCACUGGACUGCAACUGACACUGAGGCUCGAAAGUGUGGGUAUCAAACAGGAUUAGAUACCCUGGUAGUC
rnacentral:rRNA from 1 species